rnacentral:rRNA from 1 species
AGAGUUUGAUCAUGGCUCAGAACGAACGCUGGCGGCGUGCCUAACACAUGCAAGUCGAGCGCGAAAGGAGCAAUCCGAGUAGAGCGGCGCACGGGUGCGUAACACGUGGGUAAUCUGCCCUCGAGCGUGGGAUAACCUUCCGAAAGGACGGCUAAUACCACAUGAGCUCACGGGAGCUUCGGCUCCUGCGGGAAAAGUAGGCCUCUGUUUACAAGCUUACACUUGAGGAUGAGCCCGCGGCCCAUCAGCUAGUUGGUGAGGUAAUGGCGCACCAAGGCUACGACGGGUAGCUGGUCUGAGAGGACGAUCAGCCACACUGGAACUGAGACACGGUCCAGACUCCUACGGGAGGCAGCAGUGGGGAAUUUUCCACAAUGGGCGAAAGCCUGAUGGAGCAACGCCGCGUGUGUGAUGAAGGUCUUCGGAUCGUAAAGCACUUUCGACCGGGACGAAUAUCCUGAACCCAACACGUUCAGGCUUGACGGUACCGGGAGAAGAAGCACCGGCUAACUCUGUGCCAGCAGCCGCGGUAAUACAGAGGGUGCAAGCGUUGUUCGGAAUUAUUGGGCGUAAAGCGCGUGUAGGCGGCAUGGCAAGUCGGGUGUGAAAGCCCUCAGCUCAACUGAGGAAGUGCGCCCGAAACUGCUGUGCUUGAGUACCGGAGAGGGUGGCGGAAUUCCGCAAGUAGAGGUGAAAUUCGUAGAGAUGCGGAGGAACACCGGUGGCGAAGGC